rnacentral:rRNA from 1 species
AGUGAACGCUGGCGGUAGGCCUAACACAUGCAAGUCGAACGGCAGCACAGUAAGAGCUUGCUCUUAUGGGUGGCGAGUGGCGGACGGGUGAGGAAUACAUCGGAAUCUACUUUUUCGUGGGGGAUAACGUAGGGAAACUUACGCUAAUACCGCAUACGACCUACGGGUGAAAGCAGGGGAUCUUCGGACCUUGCGCGAUUGAAUGAGCCGAUGUCGGAUUAGCUAGUUGGCGGGGUAAAGGCCCACCAAGGCGACGAUCCGUAGCUGGUCUGAGAGGAUGAUCAGCCACACUGGAACUGAGACACGGUCCAGACUCCUACGGGAGGCAGCAGUGGGGAAUAUUGGACAAUGGGCGCAAGCCUGAUCCAGCCAUACCGCGUGAGUGAAGAAGGCCUUCGGGUUGUAAAGCCCUUUUGUUGGGAAAGAAAAGCAGCAGGUUAAUACCCCGCUGUUCUGACGGUACCCAAAGAAUAAGCACCGGCUAACUUCGUG